UCAGGCCUAACACAUGCAAGUCGAACGGCAGCACGGGUGCUUGCACCUGGUGGCGAGUGGCGAACGGGUGAGUAAUAUAUCGGAACGUACCUUAUUGUGGGGGAUAACGCAGCGAAAGCUGUGCUAAUACCGCAUAAUCCCUAAGGGGGAAAGCGGGGGACCGUAAGGCCUCGCGCAAUUAGAGCGGCCGAUACCUGAUUAGCUAGUUGGUGAGGUAAAGGCUCACCAAGGCAACGAUCAGUGGCUGGUCUGAGAGGACGAUCAGCCACACUGGGACGGAGACACGGCCCAGACUCCUACGGGA
rnacentral:rRNA from 1 species